GUACUUUUCGUCGGAAGUACACCUUAGUAUGUAAUGCCACUUGUUGAGUGGCAUCACAAAUCCCACACCAAUCUGCACCUGCAACAGAUAGAAAG
rnacentral:lncRNA from 1 species